rnacentral:rRNA from 1 species
AUUGAACGCUGGCGGCGUGCUUAACACAUGCAAGUCGAUCGGUAACAGGUGUAGCAAUACAUGCUGACGAGAGGCGGACGGGUGAGUAAUGCUUGGGAAUCUGCCUAUUAGUGGGGGACAACCCGGGGAAACUCGGGCUAAUACCGCAUACGCUCUACGGAGGAAAGCCGGGGACCGCAAGGCCUGGCGCUAAUAGAUGAGCCCAAGUCGGAUUAGCUAGUUGGUAGGGUAACGGCCUACCAAGGCGACAAUCCGUAGCUGGUCUGAGAGGACGACCAGCCACACCGGAACUGAGACACGGUCCGGACUCCUACGGGAGGCAGCAGUGGGGAAUAUUGGACAAUGGGGGCAACCCUGAUCCAGCGACGCCGCGUGGGUGAAGAA